AAAGAAGUAUUGAUAAAACAUAUUUUUCCAAACAGGUUUCUCAACGGACAACAUCCCACCUGGUUUUACUUUCAUAGGAUCACUGACGGACGGUCACUGCCUACUCCACAUCGAAGAGUCGAGCAAGCUGAACCUCCAUCCGUGGACAGUCGCCGUGAGGAUAUCAGGGCAGACUGUGGAACUGUCUAGGCAAACCACUGACAACUUGCUCUGGCUCGAACCAUUUACAGAUAAUUUCCCGCUAUACCUUUGGUUUUUGAUCGUCUUCUUGUGCUUAAUCAUUCUCGUCUUGGGAAUAUUACUUGGCACCAAGACGAACAGACAAUGGACUUACGACAAAGCAUCCGGGAUCAGGAACAGCAUCAGACAGAGUUUCAAGAAACCUAGAACAGUCUAGAAACAACAAUUGUGAAAACAAUAUGUAAAAAACGGCGCUUUUCAUUUUGCCUUCUGUUUGGAAUAGACUAUACUAAUAUUGCAUUUAAAACAGGGACAAAGAUUAUGCCGUUCUAAACUUGUAAUUGCUAUAAAUUUGUUAUAUAUAUUUUAACGACUAGGAAGCGUGUGUCAUUCGCUAUACAUAUUAAUAAAAUACUCAUUAACCAGCAUA